rnacentral:piRNA from 1 species
UGAGAGGGCUUAUCUGCUUAUGAGUGGC